rnacentral:rRNA from 1 species
AGUGAACGCUGGCGGUAGGCCUAACACAUGCAAGUCGAACGGCAGCACAGUAAGAGCUUGCUCUUACGGGUGGCGAGUGGCGGACGGGUGAGGAAUACAUCGGAAUCUACUUUUUCGUGGGGGAUAACGUAGGGAAACUUACGCUAAUACCGCAUACGACCUACGGGUGAAAGCAGGGGAUCUUCGGACCUUGCGCGAUUGAAUGAGCCGAUGUCGGAUUAGCUAGUUGGCGGGGUAAGGGCCCACCAAGGCGACGAUCCGUAGCUGGUCUGAGAGGAUGAUCAGCCACACUGGAACUGAGACACGGUCCAGACUCCUACGGGAGGCAGCAGUGGGGAAUAUUGGACAAAGGGCGCAAGCCUGAUCCAGCCAUACCGCGUGGGUGAAGAAGGCCUACGGGUUGUAAAGCCCUUUUGUUGGGAAAGAAAAGCAGCAGGUUAAUACCCCGCUGUUCUGACGGUACCCAAAGAAUAAGCACCGGCUAACUUCGUG